UCCUGUGUAGCUCAGUCGGUAAAGCAUCUGCUGGCAAUGUGGGAAACCCAGGUUCAAUUCCUGGGUCAGGAA
rnacentral:tRNA from 1 species